AACGAACGCUGGCGGCAGGCUUAACACAUGCAAGUCGAACGGUUGUAGCAAUACAGCAGUGGCAGACGGGUGAGUAACACGUGGGAACCUUCCUAGGGGUACGGAACAACUCAGGGAAACUUGAGCUAAUACCGUAUACGUCCGUGAGGAGAAAGAUUUAUCGCCCUUAGACGGGCCCGCGUAGGAUUAGGUAGUUGGUGGGGUAAUGGCCUACCAAGCCUACGAUCCUUAGCUGAUCUGAGAGGAUGAUCAGCCACACUGGGACUGAGACACGGCCCAGACUCCUACGGGAGGCAGCAGUGGGGAAUCUUGCGCAAUGGGCGAAAGCCUGACGCAGCGACGCCGCG
rnacentral:rRNA from 1 species